rnacentral:rRNA from 1 species
ACGCUGGCGGCACGCCUAACACAUGCAAGUCGAACGAAGUAGCAAUACUUAGUGGCAGACGGGUGAGUAACAUGUAGGUAUCUGCCCUUUGGCCUGGAAUAACACGAGGAAACUUGUGCUAAUACCGGAUAAGUCUUUACGGAGAAAGCUUUAUGCACCAUUGGAUGAGCCUGCACUUGAUUAGUUUGUUGGUGGGGUAAUGGCCUACCAAGACUGUGAUCAAUAGCUGAUUUGAGAGGAUGAUCAGCCACAUUGGGACUGAGACACGGCCCAAACUCCUACGGGAGGCAGCAGUGGGGAAUCUUGCACAAUGGAGGAAACUCUGAUGCAGCGAUGCCGCGUGAGUGAAGAAGGCCCUUGGGUUGUAAAGCUCUUUCGUCGGGGAAGAAAAUGACUGUACCCGAAUAAGAAGGUCCGGCCAACUUCGUGCCAGCAGCCGCGGUAAUACGAAGGGACCUAGCGUAGUUCGGAAUUACUGGGCUUAAAGAGUUCGUAGGUGGUUGAAAAAGUUGGUGGUGAAAUCCCAGAGCUUAACUCUGGAACUGCCAUCAAAACUUUUCAGCUAGAGUAUGAUAGAGGAAAGCAGAAUUUCUAGUGUAGAGGUGAAAUUCGUAGAUAUUAGAAAGAAUACCAAUUGCGAAGGCAGCUUUCUGGAUCAUUACUGACACUGAGGAACGAAAGCAUGGGUAGCGAAGAGGAUUAGAUACCCUCGUAGUCCAUGCCGUAAACGAUGUGUGUUAGACGUUGGAAAUUUAUUUUCAGUGUCGCAGCGAAAGCGAUAAACACACCGCCUGGGGAGUACGACCGCAAGGUUAAAACUCAAAUGAAUUGACGGGGACCCGCACAAGUAGUGGAGCAUGUGGUUUAAUUCGAAGAUACGCGCAGAACCUUACCAACACUUGACAUGUUCGUCGCGACUUUAAGAGAUUAAAGUUUUCGGUUCGGCCGGACGAAACACAGGUGCUGCAUGGCUGUCGUCAGCUCGUGUCGUGAGAUGUUGGGUUAAGUCCCGCAACGAGCGCAACCCUCACUUUUAGUUGCCAUCAUUAAGUUGGGCACUCUGAAAGAACUGCCAGUGAUAAGCUGGAGGAAGGUGGGGAUGACGUCAAGUCCUCAUGGCCCUUACGUGUUGGGCUACACACGUGCUACAAUGGUAUCUACAACAGGAAGCAAGACGGCGACGUCAAGCAAAUCCUUAAAAGAUACCUCAGUUCGGAUUGCACUCUGCAACUCGAGUGCAUGAAGCUGGAAUUACUAGUAAUCGUGGAUCAGCGUGCCACGGUGAAUGCGUUCCCGGGUCUUGUACACACCGCCCGUCACACCAUGGGAGUUGGUUCUACCUUAAGGCAAGGUUUAAAACCCUUGACCACGGUAUAGUCAGCGACUGGGGU